AGCAAUUGCAAUGCAUGAAAUUUCAAAUUUGUUAAUAAGAUUCACCAAUUUCCAAUACAAUAAAAAAAAAGCAUGUCAAUGUAACAAUAAUAAUCUUGUUAUGUAAAUAUAAAAGCUUAAUUAAAACUAUUCAUCAUAGCCAAAUUAAUUAAAACUAUUCAUCAUCAAACUUUAAAUCCAAAAUCUUCUGCACACGUAUCUUUUUGCUAGAAGAUGAUCUAGGCCCGGGUGGCGGAGGGCAGCGUCGCGUCGCCGGAAUCUUGCUCUCCUCCGACGUUGGUGUCUUGUAACCCUCAUCAUCCUCGUCCAUGUCCAACUCAGCUGGGCACUCCACCGCGAUUUUGGGCAACUUUUCAUGGUUGGCCACAUCACCAUGAAAAUGUUGAGUAGGCGUAGCGGCGGCGGUGGUAGCAACGUCGGGCGUUGUAGGAGGUUUAGUGUCAUUAGAAGAAAUUUUAAGGUGUUUAAGGGAGGCCUCAACGGUGUCCAUCUUAGAAGAACAAAACUCAAGACUCUGAUUAUUAUGAUUGCUUUGAGGGAGUUGGU
rnacentral:lncRNA from 1 species